CAGGACGCCAAACUCCAGCCGCUAAGUACAGAAGAACGGAAACCAGCACAGAAGAGCAAGGCACCACGUGGAGCAGCCGGCGGAACCCUUUCGCAGAGAUAAGGAGUAGAGCCCCAGAACCUGCAUCCGGCUGCGCUUGCUGCUAGCGACUGGAGAAGGCCGGCGAGACCCCCUGACGCGCACUAGGAAACAGAGGCCCUAGGCUGAACGUGACCUACCCAAGGUCCCACAGAAGCCUCUAGCUGUCGCCCUGGGUAGAGUGCCUUGGCAUCACAGCUCACAGCAACCUCCAACUCCUGGGCUCAAGCGAUUCUCCUGCCUCCUCCUCCCAAGUAGCUGGGACCACAGGCACCCACCAGAUGCCCAGCUAUGUUCUGGUUGCAUCCGUCAUUGUUGUUGUAUGGUGGGCCCGGGCUGAAUUCAAACUCACCAGCUUAGGUGUAUGUGGCUAGCGCCUUAGCCGCUUGAGCCACAGGUGCCAAGCCCAAAGCUGUGGUUCUUAACAGCCCUGCUCUCUCUCUCAGCAUAAAUGACAGCAGACUGAAUGGGGUGCAUGUGUCUUCCCGACAAAGAAGCCCUGGGAGGUGCCCAGCUACAGAGGCACUCUGGGUUGAAACAAUCAAGGAAAGUUUUGGAAAAAGAGAGUGCAGGGUAAUCUGGUCCUUGAAAGAAGAUGGGAGGACAUUAGUUUGACACAGAUGCCAGAAAAGAAGGCUAUAAUUUUGCCUCUAUCCAGAGAUGAGGCAGACCCUUUAUGCCAAUGUCACCCCAGUCUUCCCAGUUUUAUCUGAUAGCAAAGGGGCUGCUGGGACUCUCAAAGACCACUCACUCCUGUUACUGUGGUUCUUGAUGUCAUGCUCCUUUUUUCUUUCUUUAAAUAUCUCCUUGCAGCUGCCCCAAGAUGGCCACACCAAGCUCCCUCAUAUGCCCUAGCGAGCAGAUAAUCUGGGCCCACAGCUUUUGGCCACUGCGGAAGAGAAGAGAGCCCCAGUAAGGCAGUGAAAUAUCUUGAAAAGGGCAGGGACUGGGCUCCUUGCUUCUAACCUGACACUGUUCUGUCUCUCUUCCCCUCUCUGGGCUUGAGUUGGCUAAGGCAGACUCUGUGAGCCCUUUUAACCCUAAAAUCUUCACUCUCAUAGAAUCACACCACAUCACAGGUAAUUUGGACUCCUUACCAAACCAUGUGGGCUCCAUGAAGGUAGGAACCAUAACCUUUCCCUAGUUGCUGUAACCCCAGCAACUAGCUUAGGGCUUGACCCAUAGUAGAACUUAAUCAAUAUGUGUUCCGUGAUUGACUGUUCAUUCUUCCUCCCUAAGGUACAAGCACAAGAGGAACCCAUUUGGAAAAACCCUACCCUCCUCCAUUUACAGGCUUUGUGGUUGACCCUGGACAAAGUUAACCUCUUUGUACGUAAAAUGGAGAUGUCAAUAGUAGCUACCUAAGAAAGUUGUUUGGCGCAUGAAACAAGAAAUGCACAAGACGCAUUUAGUACAAGUGCCUGGGAGCUGCGGCUGGGCUGGUCCCCCUCCUGGCCUGAUUCCAGUCUGCCAGUGUAGCAACGCAAGAUUCCAGAUAUGGCCUGACCAAGCCAGCACAAUAGGCCUAUUAUUUUCCCCAGUCUGGACGCGACACAUUGUUAAUGCAGCCUAAGACUGCAGGGCUUCAGAGCCUUUCUCUCCCAUGAUUAGUUCCCAUCAGGUUUUGUGGUCAAGUAAAUCAUUCAGAUCCUUUUUUAUUGGAGUUGAGGUCAAGUCAGGUCUCUCCCUCAUCCUCUGCUUUGUGUAAUGUCUUGAAGCUACAAUAGAACAAUGUCAUCUUGCUUAUUCCAGCCUGUCGACAUUGUUUUGGAUGCUGGAUCUAUGGCCUACUGUUUUCUCUCACUCUCAAUUUAGAUCCAGCCUAUCCCUUACAACUUCAACUUCACCAGCCAUAUUGCCAUGAAACACACAAGAGACACUCAUUCAUCAUAAACUGAAUCAGGGCACUGCCAAUACAACAGCCCCCAGUUAUGAAGCACCAAUGGUAUGAUGGGCAAUCAUUGUGCUAAAUGCUUUAUAUAUAGCAUUUAGCCACUGAGUAGAGUGGGCUACAAAUAAUGGUAGAGUUGGGCUAUGAAGCCAGGUAACUGAAAGGGUCAUUUAUAUUAACCCCAUUUUACAGAUGAUAAAACUGAGGGUAAGAGAGGGGAAGCAGGAAUUCAAUUUUAUAAACUCAGAGUGAGGCCCCUUUUUCUGAUAGUGAGCUUUGUUGUUGAUUUGUCAUUUAGAGAUUUUGUCUUCCAGGUGCCUACUGUCUUGACCAGUGGCUCCAUUGCCGGCCACACCACCACCACCCCUCACCAGAUAUUCUCCUUCCUGCCUCCUUACUCAUAACAUGUAUGGAGCCCAAGAGGCUUUGCUGAGGUUCCAGUCCAUGGUGGGCAGAAGGCAAUCUUACCAGCUCUAUUAGCUUCAGGAGCCUGGAGCAGAAACCUGGGCCCAUUCUUUGCAGAAACAUUCUUUCCAUCUAGAAUAGCAAUUAACAAAU